rnacentral:rRNA from 1 species
GCCUAAUACAUGCAAGUCGAGCGCGCCCUUCGGGGUGAGCGGCGGACGGGUGAGUAACGCGUGGGAAUAUGCCCUUCAGACUGGGACAACUAACCGAAAGGUUAGCUAAUACCGGAUAUUAUGAGACCUUGGCAUCAAGGACUUAUGAAAGCUAUAUGCGCUGGAGGAGAACUUUGCGUCCCAUUAGGUAGUUGGUAGGGUAAUGGCCUACCAAGCCGACGAUGGGUAGCCGGCCUGAGAGGGUGAAC